AUAGAGUGAGCCCUCACUCCGCCACCACUGACGACAAGAUCUCUUCGACUGGUUUGCGGUAUCUCUUUCUAGCACAAUGUAUCGAGAAACAUAACAUGAAACUAAGUGGGGGUACGGGACGGCAAGUGAAAUAAGGUGAAUUACUUUAUUCUUCUUUUUUCUUUAAUUAUUAUGACAAGUGACAAGACAACAUAACCCAAAUAAUUUAAUCCGGCCCUAUUUCUAUUUUUGAACAAAAUGUUGGAAAUAUCUUAGUUUAUUUUUAGUUCUAGCUUAUUUAUGGCUAGAUUGAAAAUCUGAAUUUUCUAAUAUUGGUUCAUGAUUAUCAUCAGGGACUUGAUUCGGUUCUUAAACAGGAUCUCUUUUAGUCCCAAUCACUGCAGCAGUGGAGCUAUGUUUUUAUUUUCACUGUGCUAGUAGAUGGCGAAUAAAUCGUUUAAUUUUCAAUAUUUUUUUAUGAAAAUUGUUUCACAUGUACUUUUUAUAACAAAUGUUCAGUAGUAAUAACCCGAGGACAUUGAUAAUUGUUCGAAAAAAUUUUAUAACAGAUUUCGAAAGCUUGUUGCUUGGAAACAGACCGACGCCGUAGGCGGAGGUCUGUUGCCUGUAAGCAACAAGCUUGAGAAAGUUGUUAAAAGAUUUUUGAGCAUUUAUCAAUGUUCGAGGGUUAUUCGGAUAGAAAAUUUUUUGCUGAUAUAAAAUUAAUAAUAAUUUCAUUAAUAUUCUCAUCAGUAUUACAACCAAAUCGUGACAUUUUGAAAUAUUGAAUAUUUGAAAUGUCAAAAUCGAAAUGAAACGAAAUGUAGGUAUCCAUAGCUACAUGAUUGAGUGAAAACAGCCCAUGGGAUCUGUUUUCAGUAUAAUGUUGGUUUUAUUGGUUGUAUUCAAUCAGAUGACCACAAAUUAAUUGAUUUCAUUGGAUUUCUAAUUGAGCAAAAAAUUUUCAAAAUAAUUGUUACAGUACUUUUUAUUUUAGAAAUUCCCAAAAAAGUAUAUGAAUUUCAUACUUUUACACUAGGAUAGCCCCUUAAGAAAGGUAAAUUUCUAGAGCUGCCUAAAGACAGCCAUCAUUAUUCCUCUUCAUAAGGGUGGUGAAAAAUCUAAUGCCUGCAAUUAUAGACCUAUUGCAUUACUACUGGUACUCUCAAAUAGGACUCAUAUUACACAAGUAUAAAAACUUGUUGCUGGUAUGAGCACAUUGUGUAAAUGUUAGGAUUUAAAGAGGAUAUAAAAACCAAUACAAUUAUGAGCGUUAGUCUCUUUAUAUCCUAACAUUUUUUUUGUUAUUGUUUUAGUUUAUUAUUGUUUUAUUGUGUUUAUUAUUGUUUUUUAUGACUCUGUAAGUUUUGUGUAUAAAUUGUACAAUUUUCCAUGACAAUAAAGCAUUUUUCUAUUCUAA